AUUUCGGACUUAACUUCCCUGUAAACAGAUACCUCAAAUCAGUGCUACUGUCCUGAAUUUGCAUGAGACAUGGACCUGGAAGAAUUCAGGAAUGGGAAAGGAGGACAGACAGUACUCUCUUUGUCUUAGGCAUGGUCCAUCCAACCCCAUUUUGCAGGAUCCCACUGACCUGGUUGCAGAAGACCAUCAUGCUCUGGUGUUGAUCUUUCUCUUCUUUGGACUGCCAGGAUCAUGGGAUGUCUGCUGAGGAAAGCUACAGGGAUGGGGUGCCUUUGACUCUCUUGUAUCUGCUACUUCUUUGGAUAUUAUCAUGCAGCAUCUCUUACCAUCUUUAUCUGGUGACAGUUUUCCUGUCCUGUGAUAACAGUGGCAUCAAACCCGUUACUCAGUUCUCUGUUGUUUCCUUUAGGCAGUGAAAGUUCAUGUGGCAGAUCCUUUGAAUGAUUCUCCAUGUGCCAUGCUGGACCCUUUGGGGAGCAGGCUUUCCCAGUCAUAGAUAUUCUGGUAAGCAGUUGAGAUCCUCAGUUCUGGACACAUAGGUAUGGCUUCAGUGUUUCCUCAAUCAGUUUGGGGAAAUAUUUAUUAGCCUUGUUCAGUGGGUUCAAUUAACUUGAGAGCAGUUAAGAUAAGAAUCAUCCUCAUGAGUUAUGAGCUAUGAACUGCCAAACAAACACUCAAUCUAGUGUUUCUGCAAGUGCCUCUCUCAGAACCUCACCUCACCCUCUGUGAGUUUGACAGAAGGCUAAAGCAUUGUAGAAAAAAGUCUAAAUUUAUUUCCCUACAGCACUUGACAGCACUAACAGAUGCCACAGUGUGUGUGUGUGUGUGUGUGUGUGUGUGUGUGCGUGCGCGCGCGCGCGUGCGUGUGUUUGUGGAUACAUGUCUCCAUGUGUGUGCACAUGUGUGGCCAGAGAUUGAUUUUUUUAUUCUAUCACUGUCCAUCUUAGCUUUCUUAAGGAAAGAACCUUCCACUGGACAUAAGGAUCAUUUGAUUGGCCAGACUAGCAAGCCCAGGGCUAUCUGUCUAUCAUCCUAGCACUAGGAUUACAGAAUUUCUCUGCUUUGCCCAGCGGUUUUUUUUAAAAACAUGGUUUCUUCAUGUUUGCAUAAACAAGUAUUUUAGCAAAUGAACCAUCUGUGUAAUCCCAAGAUUUUUGAUACAAUUCUCUUCCCAUUCUUUAUACACUCUGUCUUGAUUUUAUUAAAAUAAUUAAUUAGCUACACAAUCCUAUUUUAUUUAAUUUUGGUAGACCUACUGA
rnacentral:lncRNA from 1 species